AUUUUGAUAAUUUUUGAAACCACUUUCAUAUAACAAAAAUACAAAGCUCACUGAGACUGCUUGGGCUAUAGAUGCAAAUGGGAUUAAAUUCCCCUGGGAAAUAUUUGUGCGCUCAUUUCAGAAAGCUAAGGACAUACAGAUUUUUAAUGUUUCCAUCUGUAAGUUUCUCAUACCCUUGUUACAGGUUAGGACCUCAUAACAAGGAAGAAUUUGUCUUAAUCACUGUUUCCCAACCAUCUAAGGCAACAGGUGGGCUCACAAGUGGUUCUCAGUAACAUGUGAGCAUAUGAACAACUGACCAGAGCACAUUCAAAAAGUUUUCAGAGACUGGAAAAAAGAUAUUUCAGCAGAAACUUGGUAGAGAAGAAGUGAUUCUGAUAAAAUACCCAUAUUCAUUUACAGGAAUCUGGGUAUCAUUUGACUGUUCGACUAAUGUAUACAGAUUAGGAGGAUGUGGAAUAUUUUUGACUUGUUCUGCACAAAGCAAAUUGAAAUCUUGCUGACAUUUCUGGUUUGUGCUGGAAAAUGAUAUUUUGCAGGUAAUAUUAUUACUGGAAUGACCAAAAUAGCUGGGAAAAGGAGUAAAUUAGCUUUACGGAUGAUGAAUACAUGUAGUUAUUCCUGCUGGUCUGACAGAGUAUUGCAUCUUUCUGCAAAGCUUCCCUGUUUUAAAAGGCCAGGAAAACUUGGUCGAGACCGGUUGACUAAAAAGUGUUCAGAAGAAGCAUCAGAAAUCCAGCAAGAGGAACUAUUUCUCCAGAAUUUGCAGUAUUUGGGGAGUGAGAAUGAAAAUCAAAGGAGUUAAAACAUAACUCCUGAAGUCCUGUGGAAAUGAGAGCAUCUCGGCUUUUAAACUUUGUCACAUCAGUCCCUGCUAAGAUCAGCCCUGGUGUGUGAGCACAAUCCGCUGGCAAGUUGUAAGAGUUCCUGCCUCAAGGAGCUGACAAAUGGUUGGAUUUUCACACUUGCAACCACUUCUGACAAUCCUCAUUUAAGACAUACCUGGGGUCAGGAACUUGGUCUGGGUCAGAGCAUGGGGCUGAACCCAGUUUCCUGGAAGCAAGCCUGCUCCUUCCGUCUGUUUUGCAUUUGGAUGUGGUUGUGAACGCCCACUGCCAAACGUAGCUGGGAUGUGUUUGGGGCAGCCCUCCAAGGGUUUUUCCAGGAGAGCAACACUGCUGAAUCCGAAGCAAAACCAGCUGAAUCCAAAGCAGGAAUAGAUUUGGCUCCUUAGUACUCCAAAUCCCAGUGUCCGAGCAAUACAUCCAUCUUGUGUAGCUUCAUGUACAGUCUCAUGCUGUGACUCAAACAGGAUAUUUCUACAGUUGGAAGAAGAAACCAUAAAGCCAUAAUGGCAAGUUUGGUGCUGGAAGAGGGAAGAUUCUGAAACCAAAAAAAAAAAAAAAAAAAUCCUCAAGAGAACAACUAUUAGAUUAGUUCAGGAAAAUCUCAAUAAUUUCAGGAAAAAAAAAAAAGCUUUUCAUCAGCUUCAUCAGAAAUCAGAUUAUGCCCAUUGACAAGAUGCAAAAGCCCUUGACAUCAUUCACAAGUGUUGCUUAUCUUUUGUUUCACCAUCUAGGUGAUUUUCAAACUAACCCUGAGUCUUUCUGAGCAUGUCCCACCCCGGUCCACUUUGAGCCAGAAAAGGGACGGGUCUUCCUCCAAAGAAUAGAAACAUCCCCAAAAUUGCAGGAAAGCCCAUGAAAUGGUAAAUUUAUCCUGCACUGCUGUCGGUAAAGAUAAGCUGUCUGGUCAUCCUGCUGCUGUCCCAUCAGGUAUGAAUUUUUCUCCCGGCUCAUGUUGGAAGAUCACAACAGACCAGACCGCUUUUGCUUGCCUAAAAGGUGCUGCCCAAGUGAAAGCAGUUUUCCAUUUGCUUUAAGCGCCACCAGCUCUGUACAUGAAAUCACGUUGGUCCCCUACCACUGUGUCAGCGUCUUGUAGCCAAAAGGACAUUUCACCCACCACCGCCCCAGCUGGUGGCAGUGACCCCCGACAGCAAGAAGCUGAUUACUCUGAGCCCGUGAAGAUGACUCUUUUGGUGAGGAGGUCCCAGCUGUCACGACUCUGCAGCAAGGGUGCUCGGCAUGGGACCAGCCUGGGGACGCGGAGGUGCCGCAGGGCCAGUCGGGGGGCGAACCCAGACCUGGGCUCCGUUACCUGCCCCGUACUCCAUUUCUGAGUUUGUCUGCACUAGAAAACUCCUCGCAGCUGCCUGGGACACAGCUCAGGAGCAACCCUGUUCUCUCUGCUUACAGUUACGUCCCUGCUGACCAGCACAAGUUGUUAUUAUGGAAGGACUUGUCAAAUAAGCUGUCCUUGCAUUUUUUUUUCUUUUUUAUUAGUGGAGUAUGAAAACAGGCAAUAAUUUUACAGAAAGCAGGACUGGCACAAUUGGUACAUAGCAUCAUGCUGCAGCUUUUCGGAAAUGAAUAUAAACUCUUUUUUUUUCCCUUCUUUUACCUACCAGAAUAAAUAAAUAUGAUACACAUUUGAGUUCAUCAAUAGUGAAUUCUAAAGCACAACUUCUUACACUACAGCUCAAUUUUACAGCAAUCUGUACAGUAUAUUACUUUGAUUUCCUUUUUUGUUUUCCUUUAAAAGCCUUUGUUCCUUUGCAAGAUAGGUUUGACACACAAACACUGUUACACUUUGGAGCUAACUGUACGCCUUGGGUCAGUAGCUGGAAAAAAAAAAUUGAUUGCCUCCUGGCACGAGAAAAUAAACCAAAAAGUUAUUUCCAGUUGCAAAGACACAUCUGAACUUCUCUCCAGCAUGAGACGGCACUGCUCAAUAGCUAGAGCAUAAAAAAAGGCUUUGGCUAUUCGUAGAAGACUAGAUGCAAUGUUUAACUUAAGAUAUGAUGAUCAUAUUCUUUAUAAACAAAUUCUGGGGCCAAAUUUUGUUCUUAGGGUAAAUCUGGCAUUGCUCCACGGGUGGAUGCACUUACUCCUCUUUGGCCCCACAGCAGUUCAGAACUGGUCUUACUUUACGAGUCCCUAUGGGUUUCUUUGCAAACAGUAAAAUUGCAUGAUCUGGGGCAUGUCCCGAACUUUGCGGCAGAUCCCGAGGCCACGCUCAGCGCUGGGAUUAGCGGGCGUGCUCUCCGGUAAGAGCCGCGCCGUUUACAGCCGUGGUGACAUUGGCUUCUCGGCUUUUACAUCUCUUCCCCAAGCAGCUGGAGAAAUCAGGGAACGAACACGGAGGGCUCUGUUUAUACAGCAGGGAACAAACCGACGAGUCUGCAAAGUCUGUGGAAAAUAUAGGAAGUCAACCGUUACCGGGCCAUUUUGUAGCACGACGGGAAAUUCACAUGUGCACUUAUCAGCGCAGGAAUUUUUUGUUUUGAUCUUUCUUUACUAGAAAUCUUUUGUUGUUGCUUAUUGUAUCAACCUUUUCCUACUCCUCUGCUAUUGAUUUGGGUUGGGAUCAGAACUCCUUAGAGAAACAGGUCUUUGCUCUGGAUAGGGAAAAUAAGAUAUAUUAUGUUGCUCUAGAACAGAUCAUAAAAAAUCAGCAAGGGGUACACGAAGGGAUAAGGAGGGAGGAAUAGAAAAAUCAACACAGCUUGUUAAAAACAGCAGGAAAGUUCUGUAAAUUACUUGUUUAAGCUUAAUUGAGUUAUGUUUCAUAGCUACUGUAAUUAAACUAACAAAAU